rnacentral:rRNA from 1 species
UGGGGAAUAUUGCACAAUGGGCGCAAGCCUGAUGCAGCGACGCCGCGUGAGGGAUGACGGCCCUCGGGUUGUAAACCUCUUUCAGCAGGGAAGAAGCGUGAGUGACGGUACCUGCAGAAUAAGCACCGGCUAACUACGUGCCAGCAGCCGCGGUAAUACGUAGGGUGCGAGCGUUGUCCGGAAUUAUUGGGCGUAAAGAGCUUGUAGGCGGUUUGUCGCGUCUGCUGUGAAAAUCCGGGGCUCAACCCCGGACUUGCAGUGGGUACGGGCAGACUAGAGUGCGGUAGGGGAGACUGGAAUUCCUGGUGUAGCGGUGAAAUGCGCAGAUAUCAGGAGGAACACCGAUGGCGAAGGCAGGUCUCUGGGCCGUAACGGACGCUGAGAAGCGAAAGCAUGGGGAGCGAA